rnacentral:rRNA from 1 species
UACGUAGGGGGCAAGCGUUGUCCGGAAUCAUUGGGCGUAAAGAGCGUGUAGGCGGCCCGAUAAGUCCGCCGUGAAAGUCCAGGGCUCAACCCUGGAAUGCCGGUGGAAACUGUCGGGCUCGAGUCCGGAAGAGGCGAGUGGAAUUCCUGGUGUAGCGGUGAAAUGCGCAGAUAUCAGGAGGAACACCAAUGGCGAAGGCAGCUCGCUGGGACGGUACUGACGCUGAGACGCGAAAGCGUGGGAGCAAACAGG